AAGCUCUCUUUCUUCACAGUAACGGUAACAAGAACUAUCGUUUCAAAUCUUGACGAUUCUGUUUCUGUUUUCAUCUAGGGUUUCUGUCUUCAUCUAGGGUUUCUGUCGAGUGUUCGUUGUAAUUUGAAAUUGGAACGAUGCUCUGUUUGAUGCUAAUGCGUGCGAUUAAACUGAACACAGUUCGAUUAUUGUUCCUGCAUCUAUGUUCGUUUGCUUUUUUUUUUCUUUUGAAUGAUCGUUGCAAUAUCAUUUGUGUAGGGAUUGGAUCUUCGGAUCGAUGUAAUUUUUAACUCGUUAGGGUUUUAAUUCGUUAAGAACCGAAUGAAUCAAAAUACUUAUGAACUAAAUCCAAUCAAAUCCCCGUUCAUUGGUAUGAUCUUGUAUUCUCAAUAAGAGAAAGCAAAAUGUAAUAGGGUUGUUCUUCGAGCGCCUGGAUUUAAGGGACACGACAGUAAAUAGAUUUACCACUCUAUUGAGAAUUUAGUCUCUGUUCUUUGAAGUUCUUAAAAACUUUCUAUACCGUGCUUUUCAUUCGAAGUUCAUCAAGCGUAUAGCUCCCUUUUAGAGACAGGAUUCUUCUUGUUUUCUGCCUAAUUGAAAGAGAAAGAUUGCUAUGUUUUUAGUUUUAUGUUCAAUUAAACACUCUUUGCAUACCUUAGUUAGCAUGAUUGUUUAGUCAAUCAAGUAUCUCAUAUCCAAACUUUCCAGGUUUGUGGCCUGUUAAGACUCUUAGAACAGCUGUUGGUUGAAAGAAUUGGAUAAUCAGUAAGGAUGACAUUAUUGUCUGGAAGAAGUUUUCCAUUGAACCCCAAUGCUCCAAUCUUCGUUCCGUUUGCUCUUCGUAAUGUCGAGGAUUUCUCUCCAGAAUGGUGGGAACUCGUCACGUCGCCGUGGUUCCAGUACUACUGGUUAAGCCAACAUCAGGAAGAUGAUUUCGACAGCAGUACCAAUGAUUUUGUCACGACAGAAGAGUUUCUUGAUCUGGAAGAGGCGGAGUUUGAGGCUAUGGUUCAAUCAACUGAAGCAGAUGAAAAGCCUGAUAUUAAACCAACCGCUCCUAAGAAUCUCAUAAAAGGUGCAAGCCAUGAAAUGGAUGCCAAAAGAUUAUUGGAGGAUCUAGUCAUUCCAAAAUCUCCAAAGGCUCCAGUUUGUCCUGCAAAGUACAAUGAGAAGUCAGCCAAGUGCAGGAGCCCCAAACACACUCCAAGGUUCAUUCACCAGCCUCGUUGAAAAAGAGAUGCAAACUGGAUGCUGGAAGUACAAUCGUGUUUAUCGGGGUCUUGUACUCACACAGAUCAUGAAAUUAGAGCUGCAUAAAGAAGUUGAUUCCAAGCAUCAGGAAGGCCAGCAAUGCACCAAUGUAUGCAGUCCAUUUCUCUAAGGCCACUGUAUUUGCCUGGAUGAGCAUCCUUUCUAAGCUGAGACAGAGUUGUUAUGUUGAGCAAGUGAACUGGGUUUGAUAUUCCAUUCAAUACUUUCUGGAGUGUGAAUGAUGCUGCUGGCAAACCUCCUGGGUAUGUUGAUCCCGCUACUGGACUUGUUUCGUUCCCACAAUUUUUUGCUCCCGGCUCGUUCCAGUCUUUGCCACUGUCGAGAAAAAAAUGAAAGGAAAUGAGUUCAAGUCAUGCAUUCGUAAGAAUAAAAACCUCCUAAACUGGUACGUUUUUUUUCUUUGAAUGUGUUGUUAGACACGCAUUCUAAUGAAAUAAUCUAACUAUAGUUCAGGAAAUCA